rnacentral:rRNA from 1 species
UAAUACGGAGGGUGCAAGCGUUAAUCGGAAUUACUGGGCGUAAAGCGCACGCAGGCGGUUUGUUAAGUCAGAUGUGAAAUCCCCGGGCUCAACCUGGGAACUGCAUUUGAAACUGGCAAGCUAGAGUCUCGUAGAGGGGGGUAGAAUUCCAGGUGUAGCGGUGAAAUGCGUAGAGAUCUGGAGGAAUACCGGUGGCGAAGGCGGCCCCCUGGACGAAGACUGACGCUCAGGUGCGAAAGCGUGGGGAGCAAACAGGAUUAGAUACCCUGGUAGUCCACGCUGUAAACGAUGUCGAUUUGGAGGUUGUGCCCUUGAGGCGUGGCUUCCGGAGCUAACGCGUUAAAUCGACCGCCUGGGGAGUAUGGUCGCAAGGCUGG